CCUACGGGAGGCAGCAGUGAGGAAUAUUGCACAAUGGGCGAAACCCUGAUGCAGCAACGCCGCGUGAAGGAAGACGGUUUUCGGAUUUUUAAAUUCCGUUCUUAGUGAAGAAUAAUGACGGUAGCUAAGGAGCAAGCCACUGCUAACUACGUGCCAGCAGCCGCGGUACUACGUAGGUGGCAAGCGUUGUCCGGAAUUACUGGGUGUAAAGGGAGCGCAGGCGGGAAGCCAAGUCAGCUGUGAAAUCUACGGGCUUAACUUGUAGACUGCAGUUGAAACUGGUGUUCUUGAGUGAAGUAGAGGUAGGCGGAAUUCCGAGUGUAGCGGUGAAAUGCGUAGAUAUGCGGAGGAACACCGGUGGCGAAGGCGGCCAACUGGGGUUGAACUGACGCUGAGGCUCGAAAGUGUGGGUAGCGAACAGGAUUAGAUACCCGAGUAGUC
rnacentral:rRNA from 1 species